UACGGAAGGCAGCAGUGGGGAAUAUUGCACAAUGGGCGCAAGCCUGAUGCAGCCAUGCCGCGUGUAUGAAAAAGGCCUUCGGGUUGUAAAGUACUUUCAGUCGUGAGGAAGGUGUUAAGGUUAAUAACCUUAGCAAUUGACGUUAGCGACAGAAGAAGCACCGGCUAACUCCGUGCCAGCAGCCGCGGUAAUACGGAGGGUGCGAGCGUUAAUCGGAAUUACUGGGCGUAAAGGGCACGCAGGCGGUUAAUUAAGUUGGAUGUGAAAUCCCCGGGCUUAACCUGGGAAUGGCAUUCAAGACUGGUUAGCUAGAGUCUUGUAGAGGGGGUAGAAUUCCAUGUGUAGCGGUGAAAUGCGUAGAGAUGUGGAGGAAUACCGGUGGCGAAGGCGGCCCCUGGACAAAGACUGACGCUCAUGUGCGAAAGCGUGGGGAGCAAACAGGGA
rnacentral:rRNA from 1 species